rnacentral:rRNA from 1 species
UACGUAGGGGGCGAGCGUUGUCCGGAAUCAUUGGGCGUAAAGAGCGUGUAGGCGGCUUGGCAAGUCUGACGUGAAAGCCCGCGGCUCAACCGCGGAUUGUCGUUGGAAACUGCCUCGCUAGAGUCCGGAAGAGGAGAGCGGAAUUCCUGGUGUAGCGGUGGAAUGCGCAGAUAUCAGGAAGAACACCCGUGGCGAAGGCAGCCUUCCUGGGCCAACACUGACGCUCAUGCACGAAAGCGUGGGGAGCAAACAGGA